rnacentral:piRNA from 1 species
UAAAACCUUACAUGCACAGUCUCUUC